AUUGAACGCUGGCGGCAUGCUUUACACAUGCAAGUCGAACGGCAGCGCGGGCUUCGGCCUGGCGGCGAGUGGCGAACGGGUGAGUAAUACAUCGGAACGUGCCCAGUAGUGGGGGAUAGCUCGUCGAAAGCCGGAUUAAUACCGCAUACGACCUGAGGGUGAAAGCGGGGGAUCUUCGGACCUCGCGCUAUUGGAGCGGCCGAUGGCAGAUUAGCUAGUUGGUGGGGUAAAGGCCUACCAAGGCGACGAUCUGUAGCUGGUCUGAGAGGACGACCAGCCACACUGGGACUGAGACACGGCCCAGACUCCUACGGGAGGCAGCAGUGGGGAAUUUUGGACAAUGGGCGAAAGCCUGAUCCAGCAAUGCCGCGUGUGUGAUGAAGGCCUUCGGGUUGUAAAGCACUCUUGGCGGGAACGAAAAGGACUGUGCCAAUACCACGGUUCGAUGACGGUACCCGCAGAAGAAGCACCGGCUAACUACGUG
rnacentral:rRNA from 1 species